rnacentral:rRNA from 1 species
GACGAACGCUGGCGGCGUGCUUAACACAUGCAAGUCGAACGGAAAGGCCCUGCUUUUGUGGGGUGCUCGAGUGGCGAACGGGUGAGUAACACGUGAGUAACCUGCCCUUGACUUUGGGAUAACUUCAGGAAACUGGGGCUAAUACCGGAUAGGAGCUCCUGCUGCAUGGUGGGGGUUGGAAAGUUUCGGCGGUUGGGGAUGGACUCGCGGCUUAUCAGCUUGUUGGUGGGGUAGUGGCUUACCAAGGCUUUGACGGGUAGCCGGCCUGAGAGGGUGACCGGCCACAUUGGGACUGAGAUACGGCCCAGACUCCUACGGGAGGAAGCAGUGGGGAAUAUUGCACAAUGGGCGGAAGCCUGAUGCAGCAACGCCGCGUGCGGGAUGACGGCCUUAGGGUUGUAAACCGCUUUCGCCUGUGACGAAGCGUGAGUGACGGUAAUGGGUAAAGAAGAACCGGCUAACUACGUG